ACUCCUACGGGAGGCAGCAGUAGGGAAUCUUCCACAAUGGGCGCGAGCCUGAUGGAGCAACAUCGCGUGAGUGAAGAAGGGUUUCGGCUCGUAAAGCUCUGUUGUUAAAGAAGAACACGUAUGAGAGUAACUGUUCAUACGUUGACGGUAUUUAACCAGAAAGUCACGGCUAACUACGUGCCAGCAGCCGCGGUAAUACGUAGGUGGCAAGCGUUAUCCGGAUUUAUUGGGCGUAAAGAGAGUGCAGGCGGUUUUCUAAGUCUGAUGUGAAAGCCUUCGGCUUAACCGGAGAAGUGCAUCGGAAACUGGAUAACUUGAGUGCAGAAGAGGGUAGUGGAACUCCAUGUGUAGCGGUGGAAUGCGUAGAUAUAUGGAAGAACACCAGUGGCGAAGGCGGCUACCUGGUCUGCAACUGACGCUGAGACUCGAAAGCAUGGGUAGCGAACAGGAUUAGAUACCCUGGUAGGAUAGCG
rnacentral:rRNA from 1 species